rnacentral:pre_miRNA from 1 species
GUGUGAAAUGGGCACUGCCCUCAAGGAGCUUACAAUCUAGCUGGGGGUAGAUGACUGGCUCGUGAACACAACUAGACUGUGAGCUUCUAGAGGGCAGGGACC